rnacentral:rRNA from 1 species
CCUACGGGCGGCAGCAGUGGGGAAUAUUGCACAAUGGGCGCAAGCCUGAUGCAGCCAUGCCGCGUGUGUGAAGAAGGCCUUCGGGGUGUAAAGCACUUUCAGCGGGGAGGAAGGCGUUAAGGUUAAUAACCUUGGCGAUUGACGUUACCCGCAGAAGAAGCACCGGCUAACUCCGUGCCAGCAGCCGCGGUAAUACGGAGGGUGCAAGCGUUAAUCGGAAUUACUGGGCGUAAAGCGCACGCAGGCGGUCUGUCAAGUCGGAUGUGAAAUCCCCGGGCUCAACCUGGGAACUGCAUUCGAAACUGGCAGGCUAGAGUCUUGUAGAGGGGGGUAGAAUUCCAGGUGUAGCGGUGAAAUGCGUAGAGAUCUGGAGGAAUACCGGUGGCGAAGGCGGCCCCCUGGACAAAGACUGACGCUCAGGUGCGAAAGCGUGGGGAGCAAACAGGAUUAGAUACCCGUGUAGUC